AAUCAACGCUGGCGGCGUGCCUAACACAUGCAAGUCGAACGCGAAAGGGGGCUUCGGCCCUGAGUAGAGUGGCGUCCGGGUGAGUAACGCGUGGGUAAUCUACCCUCGGGUGGGGAAUAACCAAUCGAAAGAUUGGCUAAUACCGCAUAAUGCAGCGGCCCGACAUCGAGACAGUUGUUAAAGCAGCAAUGCGCCAGAGGAGGAGCCUGCGUCUGAUUAGCUUGNGGGCGGGGGUAACGGCCCACCCAAGGCUACGAUCAGUAGCUGGUCUGAGAGGACGGCCAGCCACAAUGGCACUGAAACACGGGCCAUACUCCUAC
rnacentral:rRNA from 1 species